AGUUUAACACUUCAUGAUUGAGAGCUGCCCUUCAUGGCAACAGAAUCCACAACAACAAUGACUUUUAUCAGCAUCUUCAUCUGGGCACUUGUCAUCUGCACUCAGGAAUCCAGUGGACAGUAUACUGUGACUCAGACUCCAGCAGUGAAAUCUGUUCUCCCAGGAGACACAGUCGCUCUGAGCUGUAAAGUCAACAGCGCAGUGUACAGUAACAACGUACUAGCCUGGUACCAACAGAAACCUGGAGAAGCUCCCAAACUCCUGAUCUAUUAUGCAAGUACCCUUCAGUCUGGGAUCCCAACUCGUUUCAGUGGCAGUGGAUCUGGGACUGACUUCACUCUGACCAUCAGUGGAGUCCAGGCUGAAGAUGCAGGAGAUUACUACUGUCAGAGUGCACACUACCCCAGCAGUAGCUGGGUG